rnacentral:rRNA from 1 species
GGUGAACGCUGGCGGCGUGCUUAAGACAUGCAAGUCGAACGGGCUCUUCGGAGCCAGUGGCGCACGGGUGAGUAACGCGUAACUGACCUACCCCAAAGUCGCGGAUAACGAUUCGAAAGAAUCGCUAAUACGUGAUGUGCUGUCAGAUCCUGUUCUGCCAGUAAGAUUUAUUGCUUUGGGAUGGGGUUGCGUUCCAUCAGCUAGUUGGUGGGGUAAAGGCCCACUAAGGCGACGACGGAUCGCCGGCCUGAGAGGGUGGCCGGCCACAGGGGCACUGAGACACGGGUCCCACUCCUACGGGAGGCAGCAGUUAGGAAUCUUCCACAAUGGGCGAAAGCCUGAUGGAGCGACGCCGCGUGAGGGAUGAAGGUCUUCGGAUCGUAAACCUCUGAAUCAGGGACGAAAGACGCGAAAGCGGGAUGACGGUACCUGAGUAAUAGCACCGGCUAACUCCGUG